rnacentral:rRNA from 1 species
AACGAACGCUGGCGGCAUGCCUAACACAUGCAAGUCGAACGAGACCUUCGGGUCUAGUGGCGCACGGGUGCGUAACGCGUGGGAACCUGCCCUUAGGUUCGGAAUACCUCCCCGAAAGGGGUGCUAAUACCGGAUAAUGUCUUCGGACCAAAGAUUUAUCGCCUUUGGAUGGGCCCGCGUUGGAUUAGCUAGUUGGUAGGGUAAAAGCCUACCAAGGCGACGAUCCAUAGCUGGUCUGAGAGGAUGAUCAGCCACACUGGGACUGAGACACGGCCCAGACUCCUACGGGAGGGAGCAGUGGGGAAUAUUGGACAAUGGGCGGAAGCCUGAUCCAGCAAUGCCGCGUGAGUGAUGAAGGGCUUAGGGUUGUAAAGCUCUUUUACCCGGGAUGAUAAUGACAGUACCGGGAGAAUAAGCUCCGGCUAACUCCGUG